UACGGAGGGUGCAAACGUUGCUCGGAAUCAUUGGGCGUAAAGCGAACGUAGGCGGCUAUGUAAGUCGGGUGUGAAAGCCCUCGGCUCAACCGAGGAAGUGCAUUCGAAACUGCAUGGCUUGAGUAUCGGAGAGGAUAGCGGAAUUCCCGGUGUAGAGGUGAAAUUCGUAGAUAUCGGGAGGAACACCAGUGGCGAAGGCGGCUGAUCUGGACGAAUACUGACGCUGAAGUUCGAAAGCGUGGGAGCAAACAGG
rnacentral:rRNA from 1 species